AGCUUUGUGCAGUGGCAGUAUCGUAGCCAAUGGGGUUUACCCAAGGUGCGAUUAUUGCAAUAGAUUUCCACUUUAUAAAAAAGUCAUUAUAUCUAUCUUUUUUUUUUUAACAAUUAUUAAGUCCUAGCUUUAUAU